GUUUGCAGUUAUGGUUCAUUUUCCAUUCUUUUAUUCACAUUCAAUAAUCAUCAAGUAUUCCUGAGGUCAGGGUAAUCUGGUUCAGUAAUCCAGCACAUUGUUCAACAUCUGUUUCAGCACAUUCAUUCACUUCCACGCUUUCAGGUGAACUCAAUUCAAGAGUAGGUUGCAAGGUCAUUGGUUUAACAUUACGAUUCAAUUCCUGGUCAGUUUCUUUCCUAAUUUGCCUAAUCAUAUUUUCUAGAUCAGAGAGAUUACCUUGAUAGCUAGCGCUGAAUCUAGCCUUUCUGCGUUUUCGCCUUGUAAGACGUAUUGGUUUUGUGCUACCGCUCUGUGGUCCAUACGGUUGGUGUUCAGGCAACACGUCACAUUUAAAAGUAUUUCC